rnacentral:rRNA from 1 species
UACGAGGGGGGCGAGCGUUGUUCGGAAUUAUUGGGCGUAAAGGGUGCGUAGGCGGUUUUGUAAGUCUUAUGUGAAAUCUAUGGGCUCAACUCAUAGACUGCAUGAGAAACUGCAGGGCUUGAGUAUGGGAGAGGUGAGUGGAAUUCCUGGUGUAGCGGUGAAAUGCGCAGAUAUCAGGAGGAACACCAAUGGCGAAGGCAGCUCGCUGGAACGGUACUGACGCUGGAGGCGCGAAAGCGUGGGGAGCAAACAGG